UGCAGGGUGACAACGAGGCCGAGCGGGACCUGGGGGCCGUGCAGCGCGGGGACCCCGAGAUGGAGCAGAAGCUGAACCGGGUCCUGCGGGGCUGCGUCGAGAGCGGCGCCGGGAACCCCGUCAGCUCCAUCCAUGAUCAGGGGGCCGGGGGCAACGGCAAUGUCCUGAAGGAGAUCUCGGAGCCGGCCGGGGCCGUCAUCUACGCCAGCCGCUUCCAGCUGGGUGACCCCACGCUGAGCGUCCUGGAGC